rnacentral:lncRNA from 1 species
GAGGAAUUGGCACGGACAUGCAGAGAGGGGCAUGUCCCAAACUCGGGGCGCUGUGGCCUCCAGCUGCCAGGAGGUAGAUGUGUUCUGACUUCUGGGUUCCCACCACCAGAACUGCAGGGGAUAUGAAGCAAGCUGGACUUGGGGAGACAUCUCUGCUCGAGUGCACGUUGGCCUGAUGACGACUGCUCUUGGGUUCACGGGUUCCAGGCUCUGCCCGGGAGCCUCAUGCAAACUGGUCCCGUUCUACAGACGAGGAAACUGAGGCACAGAGUGAUUACGGCUGUCCCUGAGCUCCUGCAGCCAGUAAGUGUCUCUGAGGAUGAACUGCCAUGUGCCCGGCGGGGAUGCCGUCCCUGGCCCUUGCUGAGUGCCUCUGGGACGAGGUCAGCUGAGCCUGCCAUCCUAACUCAGACACCAUCUCACUCUCCAAGUCCCUUCUCGGCCCAGCAAAUUCUCACCUCCAGAGGCCAGGUCUGCCCCGCAGGUCUUAGGAAAUACAGCCCUACUUCCAUCCAGCACACCAACCCAAGGAAGUGCCUCGGAGCCCUGGGGCCCGAGGGGGGCCUGGCCUUGGUCUCACGGCGGCAGCUCCACCUGGAGAGGAGUGAACUCAAGCCAGG